AGUGGCGAACGGGUGAGUAACACGUGGGUGAUCUGCCCUGCACUUUGGGAUAAGCCUGGGAAACUGGGUCUAAUACCGAAUACACCUCCUUGGUUGCAUGAUCUUGGGGGGAAAGCUUUUGCGGUGUGGGAUGGGCCCGCGGCCUAUCAGCUUGUUGGUGGGGUGAUGGCCUACCAAGGCGACGACGGGUAGCCGGCCUGAGAGGGUGUCCGGCCACACUGGGACUGAGAUACGGCCCAGACUCCUACGGGAGGCAGCAGUGGGGAAUAUUGCACAAUGGGCGCAAGCCUGAUGCAGCGACGCCGCGUGGGGGAUGACGGCCUUCGGGUUGUAAACCUCUUUCAGCACAGACGAAGCGCAAGUGACGGUAUGUGCAGAAGAAGCACCGGCCAACUACGUGCCAGCAGCCGCGGUAAUACGUAGGGUGCGAGCGUUGUCCGGAAUUACUGGGCGUAAAGAGCUCGUAGGUGGUUUGUCGCGUUGUUCGUGAAAACCGGGGGCUUAACCCUCGGCGUGCGGGCGAUACGGGCAGACUGGAGUACUGCAGGGGAGACUGGAAUUCCUGGUGUAGCGGUGGAAUGCGCAGAUAUCAGGAGGAACACCGGUGGCGAAGGCGGGUCUCUGGGCAGUAACUGACGCUGAGGAGCGAAAGCGUGGGGAGCGAACAGGAUUAGAUACCCUGGUAGUCCACGCCGUAAACGGUGGGUACUAGGUGUGGGUUUCCUUCCUU
rnacentral:rRNA from 1 species